rnacentral:rRNA from 1 species
UAAUACGGAGGGUGCAAGCGUUAUCCGGAUUUAUUAGGUUUAAAGGGUUCGCAGGCGGAAUUUUAAGUCAGUGGUGAAAGCCUACAGCUCAACUGUAGAACUGCCAUUGAAACUAAUAUUCUUGAGUAUAGAUGAAGUGGGCGGAAUAUGUCAUGUAGCGGUGAAAUGCAUAGAUAUGACAUGGAACACCAAUUGCGAAGGCAGCUCACUAAACUAUUACUGACGCUCAUGAACGAAAGCGUGGGGAGCAAACAGGAUUAGAUACCCUGGUAGUCCACGCCGUAAACUAUGAUCACUAGAUGUUGGCGAUAUACUGUCAGUGUUUUAGAGAAAUCGUUAAGUGAUCCACCUGGGGAGUACGUUCGCAAGAAUG